rnacentral:rRNA from 1 species
GAUGUUAAAGCCCGGAGCUCAACUCCGGUUCAGCAUUGGAUACUGGCAAGCUAGAGUACAGGAGAGGCAAGGGGAAUUCCUAGUGUAGCGGUGAAAUGCGUAGAUAUUAGGAGGAACACCAGUUGCGUAAGCGCCUUGCUGGACUGUAACUGACGCUGAGGGACGAAAGCCAGGGGAGCAAAUGGGAUUAGAUACCCCAGUAGUCCUGGCCGUAAACGAUGGAUACUAGGUGUUGCGGGUAUCGACCCCCGCAGUGCUGCAGCUAACGCAAUAAGUAUCCCGCCUGGGGAGUACGCACGCAAGUGUGAAACUCAAAGGAAUUGACGGGGACCCGCACAAGCGGUGGAACAUGCGGUUUAAUUCGAAGCAACGCGAAGAACCUUACCAGGGCUUGACAUCCUGAGAAUCCUGCAGAGAUGCAGGAGUGCCUUCGGGAACUCAGUGACAGGUGGUGCACGGUUGUCGUCAGCUCGUGUCGUGAGAUGUUGGGUUAAGUCCCGCAACGAGCGCAACCCUCAUUGUUAGUUGCCUGCAAGAACCUGUUCUUGUAGUGCUCUCUAGCGAGACUGCCGGUGAUAAACCGGAGGAAGGUGGGGACGACGUCAAAUCAUCAUGCCCCUUAUGUCCUGGGCUACACACGUGUUACAAUGGGCAGGACAACGAGCAGCCAACCAGCGAUGGUGAGCAAAUCUCUUAAACCUACUCCCAGUUCGGAUCGCAGUCUGCAACUCGACUGCGGAAGUCGGAAUCGCU